rnacentral:rRNA from 1 species
UACGGGGGGGGCAAGCGUUGUUCGGAAUUACUGGGCGUAAAGGGCUCGUAGGCUGCCAACUGAGUCAGACGUGAAAUCCCUCGGCUUAACCGGGGAACUGCGUCUGAUACUGGAUGGCUUGAGAUCGGGAGAGGGAUGCGGAAUUCCAGGUGUAGCGGUGAAAUGCGUAGAUAUCUGGAGGAACACCGGUGGCGAAGGCGGCAUCCUGGACCGACACUGACGCUGAGGAGCGAAAGCCAGGGGAGCAAACGGG